rnacentral:lncRNA from 11 species
UUUUCCUUUCACAACUCUACUCAGAGAAAGGCAUGGUUCCAUUUUUGAAUAAGAGUUCAGUUACAGUAUUCACAUUGGUCCAUGGGGGACUCAAGGCGGCUUAAAGACUCGAGCAAGAUUCAAUAAUCACCACUUCAUUCUUUGUGGUGAAUGUGGAAGUGAAGAUGAAGGUAUUGGAGAAGAGUAUGAUUUGUAUGACAAGUUAGUAGUUUGUGGCAUUCAGAUUUUAAAGUAAUUAAAAUAUAACUAUAGCAAU